AUGCUCAUAUUUUUGCUUCUUGCCGUGGAGCAACCAAAGUGGGUUAUCAAGCAGAUUGACAAACUGCAGUGUGCUUUCCUUUGGGCAGGAGUUGAUGCUAUCACUGGCGGUAAGUGCUUGGUGCGAUGGUCGCAGGUUUGCUCGCCAGUGCAGUUUGGUGGGCUCGGUAUCCCUUGUGUUCACAAACAAGGUAUUGCUCUAAAAGCGAGGUGGUUGUGGCUCAAUCAUAGAGGAACUGACAAGCUAUGGCAUGAUCUUCCGAUUCCUGUCGAUAAGGAAGUCAAGGCUCUGUUUGUUGCUAGUAAUUGUUUCAUCUUGGGUUAUGGCAAAUCAGUUUCCUUUUGGCAUGACCACUGGUUGAAUGGGGAGGCUCCUGCAUUUGUCUUCCCAAAUCUUUAUAAACACAGCAAGAAGAGGAAGAUCAUUGUUAAUGAGGGCCUCACCAACAGUAAAUGGAUUUCUUCGAUAAAGCACAACCCGGACGUUGAUGUUCUUCCUAAAUUUAUCAGCCUUUGGCACCACACUCAUGUAAUUUUGCUAUCUGAAAGGGAGGAUGUUCUAAGCUGGAAAUGGACUCCUGAUGGGAAGUACUAUGCUAACUCUGAUUAUUUGUAUCAGUUCUGGGGAAGGGUUAAGUUCCCUUAUUUUAGGGAAACAGCAGGACUCUGCUGCGUAUUUUUAUUAAUUUUUGAAAAGUAA
rnacentral:rRNA from 1 species